ACGGGGGGUGCAAGCGUUACUCGGAAUCACUGGGCGUAAAGAGCAUGUAGGUGGAUUAAUAAGUUUGAAGUGAAAUCCUAUAGCUUAACCAUAGAACUGCUUUGGAAACUGUUAAGCUAGAGUGUGGGAGAGGUAGAAGGAAUUUCUGGUGUAGGAGUGAAAUCCGUUAAGACUAGAAGGAAUACCGAUUGCGAAGGCGACCCACUGGAACGUCACCGACGCUGAGAUACGAAAGCGUGGGGAGCAAACAG
rnacentral:rRNA from 1 species